AGAACGAACGCUGGCGGCAUGCCUAAUACAUGCAAGUCGAACGAACUCUUCGGAGUUAGUGGCGCACGGGUGCGUAACGCGUGGGAAUCUGCCCCUUGGUUCGGAAUAACAGUUGGAAACGACUGCUAAUACCGGAUGAUGACGAAAGUCCAAAGAUUUAUCGCCAAGGGAUGAGCCCGCGUAGGAUUAGCUAGUUGGUGAGGUAAAGGCUCACCAAGGCAACGAUCCUUAGCUGGUCUGAGAGGAUGAUCAGCCACACUGGGACUGAGACACGGCCCAGACUCCUACGGGAGGCAGCAGUAGGGAAUAUUGGACAAUGGGCGAAAGCCUGAUCCAGCAAUGCCGCGUGAGUGAUGAAGGCCUUAGGGUGUAAAGCUCUUUACCCGAGAUGAUAAUGACAGUAUCGGAGAAUAAGCCCCGAUAACCUCCGUGACCAGCAGCCGC
rnacentral:rRNA from 1 species